UGGUCUUCGCAGCACUCCGGAGACACGGAGCCCGACCACUCCGAUCCACGGAGGCGGAGGAGGAGGCGGUCUUGGCGGUAGCGCUGCCGCUAGCACUGAUGACCUGGACUUUGGCCGUCUUGGCGGUGACGACCUCCGCGGUGCUCGAUGAUGCUUGAGAUGUGAUGAUGAUGCUUGACAUGACUUGUGUGUGCUGAUGAUCAUUUAGCUGACUUGUGUGAUGAUGCUUAUGCUUACAUUCGUUGAUAUGCUUAUGCUUGUGUGAUGAUGAUCUAUUGUUGUGAUGAUGCUUAUGCUUACGUUCGUUGAUAUGUGCUGAUAUGUGCUGUUAUAUAAGUGAUGUUAUUUGAAUUGAACUGAUCUGAAAACAAACAGAAAAAAGAAAAAAAA
rnacentral:lncRNA from 1 species